rnacentral:rRNA from 1 species
UACAGAGGUCUCAAGCGUUGUUCGGAUUCAUUGGGCGUAAAGGGUGCGUAGGCGGCGCGGUAAGUCGGGUGUGAAAUCUUGGAGCUUAACUCCGAAACUGCAUUCGAUACUGCCGUGCUUGAGGACUGGAGAGGAGACUGGAAUUUACGGUGUAGCGGUGAAAUGCGUAGAUAUCGUAAGGAAGACCAGUGGCGAAGGCGGGGUCUCUGGACAGUUCCUGACGCUGAGGCACGAAGGUCAGGGGGAGCAAACGGG